rnacentral:rRNA from 1 species
CUCCCAAAGAGUAACGGAGGAGCACGAAGGUUGGCUAAUCCUGGUCGGACAUCAGGAGGUUAGUGCAAUGGCAUAAGCCAGCUUGACUGCGAGCGUGACGGCGCGAGCAGGUGCGAAAGCAGGUCAUAGUGAUCCGGUGGUUCUGAAUGGAAGGGAAAUCGCUCAACGUAUAAAAGGUACUCCGGUGAUAACAGGCUGAUACCGCCCAAUAGUUCAUAUCGACGGCUGUGUUUGG